CAUGAGCAUGUAGAGCCAGAGCGCGAGUAAGAUUGAGUAAUGACGGUCGAGUACUGCUGUAAUUUAGCGACAGAAACACGAGACCAACACAGAGUGGAGUUUUGUUCUGUCACCAGACACCUGGCUGGCGUUAUCGAGUGAGCACCGACUCUGACAGGCUCAGUGAGCCCAGGAUUACAUCCACUGGCUGUGUGCCCAAAGUUCCAGCAUCCCUUUACCACUUAGAAAUGUGGCAACGUACCAAUCUUAUCUAUGGCAGGCUGAGUCCAAAACGGUAACAGUUUCAGAUGAGAGAUCACAGAAUUAACAGCUUGCAUGAGUAGUUGCUGCUGCUGAAAAUCACAUUCAGCCCUUCAGCAAAUUUUUGCAUGUGUAUGUACAGUGCAUUACUAUAGUGAAGAAUUUAGACCAGUCAAUUUCACAGCAGUUAGGACUUUUACUGUUCAUUGACUUGUGCACAAAAUCCUGUGCAGAUCAAUGCCUUACUGGAUGUAUUAGCUCGAUCUGAUGAGUGUGACUGUUUUUCUGCCUCUGAGUCUGAAGGGGUGAUUUAUUCAACACUGGUUUUAUAUAUCAUGUUUAAUAUUGAGGCUUUGCCCAUGAUGUAAUUUUGGUGUGUUGUUAUUUAGCAGUGCCCA
rnacentral:lncRNA from 1 species